CCAGAUGAGGAGAGCUAGAAAAGAAGAAAAGAAAAGAAGAAAAAAAGGAAUGUCUAACAACACCCCAGCACAUCCUAAAGACACUGACAGGUUAUCAAUGAUGUAGCACAACCAGCAUCAUUAUUCAAACGACCUGACCCACAGUCGGGUCGUUAUAGAGAUAUAUAUUUGGGUGCGAAUGUUUUUAUAAACAUCGGGAUCUUCACA